AUGACGUCAAGUCAUCAUCGGCCCUUAUGUCCAGGGCGACACACGUGCUACAAUGGCCGGCACAGCGGGAAGCGAGGGGCGACCUUGAGCGGAUCCCUCAAAGCCGGUCUCAGUUCGGAUUGCAGUCUGCAACUCGACUGCAUGAAGUUGGAAUCGCUAGUAAUCGUGGAUCAGCCAAGCCGCGGUGAAUACGUUCCCGGGCCUU
rnacentral:rRNA from 1 species